rnacentral:misc_RNA from 1 species
AGCAGCCGCGGUAAUUCCAGCUCCAAUAGCGUAUAUUAAAGUUGUUGCAGUUAAAAAGCUCGUAGUUGAAUUUCGGGAUUAGUGCGCUGGUCAUGCCUUUGGUAUGUACUGGUGUUACUGGUUCCUACCUUCUGAAGAACCGUCAUGUCAUUCAUUUGGUGUGGCGGGGAAUCAGGACUGUUACUUUGAAAAAAUUAGAGUGUUUAAAGCAGGCUCGCGCUUGAAUACAUUAGCAUGGAAUAAUGAAAUAGGACGUUUGACCCUAUUUUGUUGGUUUCUAGGAUCGACGUAAUGAUUAAUAGGGAUAGUUGGGGGCAUUAGUAUUCAAUUGUCAGAGGUGAAAUUCUUGGAUUUAUUGAAGACUAACUACUGCGAAAGCAUUUGCCAAGGAUGUUUUCAUUAAUCAAGAACGAAAGUUAGGGGAUCGAAGACGAUCAGAUACCGUCGUAGUCUUAACCAUAAACUAUGCCGACUAGGGAUCGGAUGAUGUUAUUUUUUAAUGACUCAUUCGGCGCCUUAC